ensembl:lncRNA
CCGGUUAGUGAUUGAGUUUAAUUUACAGAAGCGUGGAGCCACAGGCUAGAGGGCCUCCCCUAGACCCUCCCUUCAGUCUGCGCUCAGCCCCACGUCCCCACACGACGCACUGGACGCUGCGUUGAGUUUUGGGUCACCUGUCGCUGCAGUUGGACGAUGGAUUUUCUCGGGGGCACGCGGGUCUCCGACGGGGCACCAGUCAGGUGCGUGCUGGCUGGAGAGCUCUCGGCCAUCAAGCCUGCCGUGUGGUCUGAGAGGCGGUCACCAGGGUGCUGGGAGGAUCCGGGCAGAAGUAGCUGCUUCUCCAGGCUGCCAUUUCCAGGGCGUCGGAGUCCCGGUCCCGCCUCCUGCCCAGGACGCCCUCCGCGAGCCCGUGGCCUGUGGGGGCCGGUCCUUCGCUGCAGCUGCCGGGCAGCUGAAGAGGGCGUGGAGGGCGGAAGCACGGGCAACGGUUGUUUCCUGCGGAGAAGGGCAGGGGACACGGAGCGGCGCCUGGACUCUGGGCCUGCGGCCUCUCCGGAGGGCUGCGCACCCCUGAGCCUGCCCUGGGCGCGCCGGCUGUCGGGGGACCCUUCUGCACAAGGCCGGUGACUCUGCGUGUGUGUGGGAGGCAGGUGGUGGUGGCGUCCGGUGGGCCAAGGGCCGCCUGUGCCCCGGGUGUGGGCUCCGGCUUGGGUCCAGGCUGCGGUCCAUCUUCGCGGCUCCCGCGGUUGGAGCAGGUCGUGCAAAGCAGGCCGAGGUCCGGGCCCAGGGAGAAAGGAGGGCGCUGAGGAGGUUCCCUGAAAUGGCUUCUGCAGGAGCCGGGCUGGCAUCACAGCUCGCCGGCAUGUGUCCUGAUCGGCCACCUCCUCCUAGGUUCAGAGGGCUCAUCUUGAACAAGACUGUCACCAAGCAGCAGUGCAAAGGCGCGCAGGGUCUGCCGGGAGUUGUAGUCUGUAUCCAGCUUUGGCGCCAGCGGCGCAUCCCUUUCUUGGUGGCUCUGGUUCAGGCAGGGCUACCAAUUGCGAGGUGGCCCCGUUCAUCUUAGGAAGAAACGUCUUCUGCCCCGCCAACCCAUGGGCCUCCCUGCCUCCCAAAAAAAUAAAAUAAAAUAAAAUAAAAU